CAGGGACACUGAUCAAUGAGAGAAGAAGAGCAUUUCUGGGAAAGGCAGAAGCUCCUGAGACCCUAGAAUUCGCCGUCAAGGCACCGAAGACUCAUUCACAUACCCCAGAAUGGGUAGAAGAGAGGAAGGGAAACAGAGAUGAGAGGGAGCUGAAGGCAAACUUCACCCAACUUGCCAUUUUGUAAAGGUCUGAAGCAUAAGAGACACACAUGAAGAAGGCUAUUGAUGUCCAGAAGCAGCUGGGAGAUUCUAAACCAGGGGCCAGGAACUUUUCCUCCAAAAGUAUAAAAAUAUGCAUGGCGUGCUCAUUGUGUGCCUGGCUACCACAAGCUGAGGAUGCAAAGACCAACUGAACGCCACCGUUGCUCUCAGGGAGAUGUGUCAUGAAAGAAGAGUGUUGUCACACCUGUAGUAAAAGAUAAGCCAGAGCUUUGCCCAGAGAGGCAGGCGAACAUGGGGGAGGGAGGAUGGAAGUCUUUGACCCUUUGCACGCACACCCUGCACACCCGGCCAGAAGUGGGCAGACAUUCCCAGAUAUACCCUGCUCCUCACGCCCCUCGAUGAGUUAAAAGUUGUAUCCAUCUCAAGAAGCCUAACCCAAACCUUUAUGUGUCUUUCUUCUCCUGUGAAGCACCUGGUGUGUUGAAUCCCAAUAAAGCAUCCUCUGUACUUCCCAGUCCAGCCUUUUAUCAUGGGGCAAAUGAGAUUAGAGGUGGCAAAAGGAUGCUGAUUCCAAGGAAAACAAAAACCAAUAAAGAAAAUCAUCUAAGAAAA